rnacentral:lncRNA from 1 species
CGAUAUAAUCUUUUUGCACAAUAGCAAUAAAUAUCAGCAAUCAGAGGCAAGGAUUCUGAGUACCAAGGUCAUAAGGAGCUGAACAAUGCAGGGCUCAACUUGUGGUCAAUAUUUUGUUUUUACUCGAAAGGUAAAAGUACAAGUAUGCACACACAACGGACACAAAGAAGCAAUCCAAAUACUAUAUAGGGCUACCGAAAAUAACAUCAACGCUAAAUGCAAGUGAACAAGAAGAAAUAACGCCAAGGCCUAGAGUUGAUCU